rnacentral:rRNA from 1 species
GAAGCAGCCACCCUUGAAAGAGUGCGUAAUAGCUCACUGGUCUAGUGAUUCCGCGCCGACAAUGUAGCGGGGCUCAAGCGUACCGCCGAAGUCGUGUCAUUGCAGCAAUACGGCCAACGCCGGCUGUGAUGGGUAGGGGAGCGUCGUGUGCCGGGUGAAGCAGCCGCGGAAGCGAGUUGUGGACGGUUCACGAGUGAGAAUGCAGGCAUGAGUAGCGAUACAAACGUGAGAAACGUUUGCGCCGAUUGACUAAGGGUUCCUGGGUCAAGCUGAUCUGCCCAGGGUAAGUCGGGACCUAAGGCGAGGCCGACAGGCGUAGUCGAUGGAUAACCGGUUGAUAUUCCGGUACCCGCUGUGAAGCGUCAAACAUCGAGCAUCGUGAUGCUAAGGCCGUGAAGCCGCCCUGAUCUCUUCGGAGUUGAGGGGAGUGGUGGAGCCGCCGAACCAAGCGGUUAGUAGGUGAGUGAUGGGGUGACGCAGGAAGGUAGUCCAUCCCGGGCGGUGGUUGUCCCGGGGUAAGGGUGUAGGACGUCAGGUAGGUAAAUCCGCCUGGCAAUAGUCUGAGACCUGAUGCCGAGCCGAUUGUGGUGAAGUGGAUGAUCCUAUGCUGUCGAGAAAAGCCUCUAGCGAGUUUCAUGGCGGCCCGUACCCUAAACCGACUCAGGUGGUCAGGUAGAGAAUACCGAGGCGUUCGGGUGAACUAUGGUUAAGGAACUCGGCAAAAUGCCCCCGUAACUUCGGGAGAAGGGGGGCCACACCCGGUGACCGGAUUUACUCCGUGAGCUGGGGGUGGCCGCAGAGACCAGCGAGAAGCGACUGUUUACUAAAAACACAGGUCCGUGCGAAGCCGUAAGGCGAUGUAUACGGACUGACGCCUGCCCGGUGCUGGAACGUUAAGGGGACCGGUUAGUCACAUUUCGGUGUGGCGAAGCUGAGAACUUAAGCGCCAGUAAACGGCGGUGGUAACUAUAACCAUCCUAAGGUAGCGAAAUUCCUUGUCGGGUAAGUUCCGACCUGCACGAAUGGCGUAACGACUUCUCGACUGUCUCAACCAUAGGCCCGGUGAAAUUGCACUACGAGUAAAGAUGCUCGUUUCGCGCAGCAGGACGGAAAGACCCCGGGACCUUUACUACAGUUUGAUAUUGGUGUUCGGUUCGGCUUGUGUAGGAUAGCUGGGAGACUUUGAGCUCGCACGCCAGUGUGGGUGGAGUCGUCGUUGAAAUACCAGUCUGGUCGUGCUGGAUGUCUAACCUGGGUCCGUGAUCCGGAUCAGGGACAGUGUCUGAUGGGUAGUUUAACUGGGGCGGUUGCCUCCUAAAGAGUAACGGAGGCGCCCAAAGGUUCCCUCAGCCUGGUUGGCAAUCAGGUGUUGAGUGUAAGUGCACAAGGGAGCUUGACUGUGAGACCGACGGGUCGAGCAGGGACGAAAGUCGGGACUAGUGAUCCGGCGGUGGCUUGUGGAAGCGCCGUCGCUCAACGGAUAAAAGGUACCCCGGGGAUAACAGGCUGAUCUUCCCCAAGAGUCCAUAUCGACGGGAUGGUUUGGCACCUCGAUGUCGGCUCGUCGCAUCCUGGGGCUGGAGUCGGUCCCAAGGGUUGGGCUGUUCGCCCAUUAAAGCGGUACGCGAGCUGGGUUUAGAACGUCGUGAGACAGUUCGGUCCCUAUCCGCUGUGCGCGUAGGAGUCUUGAGAAGGGCUGUCCCUAGUACGAGAGGACCGGGACGGACGAACCUCUGGUGUGCCAGUUGUUCUGCCAAGGGCAUGGCUGGUUGGCUACGUUCGGGAGGGAUAACCGCUGAAAGCAUCUAAGCGGGAAGCCUGCUUCGAGAUGAGGACUCCCACCCCCUUGAGGGGUUAAGGCUCCCAGUAGACGACUGGGUUGAUAGGCCGGAUCUGGAAGCACCGUGAGGUGUGGAGGUGACCGGUACUAAUAGGCCGAGGGCUUGUCCUCAGUUG